CCUACGGGAGGCAGCAGUAGGGAAUUUUCGGCAAUGGGGGCAACCCUGACCGAGCCACGCCGCGUGAACGAAGAAGUUACUCGUAAUGUAAAGUUCUUUUUACAGGGAAGAAAGAGAAAUUUGACGGUACCUGAAGAAUAAGCUCCGGCUAACUACGUGCCAGCAGCCGCGGUAAUACGUAGGGGGCAUGCGUUAUCCGGAUUUACUGGGUGUAAAGGGAGCGUAGACGGUGCGCCAAGUCUGGAGUGAAAGUCCGCAGCUUAACUGCGAAACUGCUUUGGAUACUGGCGAACUAGAGUGCGGGAGGGGUAAGCGGAAUUCGUGGUGUAGCGGUGAAAUGCGUAGAUAUUAGGAGGAACACCGGUGGCGAAGGCGGCUUACUGGACCGUAACUGACGUUGAGGCUCGAAAGCGUGGGGAGCAAACAGGAUUAGAUACCCGAGUAGUC
rnacentral:rRNA from 1 species